CGGUAAUACGUAGAAGACUAGUGUUAUUCAUCUUUAAUAGGUUUAAAGGGUACCUAGACGGCAUAUUAAACCUUAUGUGGAACUGGUAUGCUAGAGUUACUUAUGAGGAAGUUUUAAAGUACUAGAGGUGUAGAGAUAAAAUUCAGUUAUACCUUUUUUCUAACGAAAAACAUCGGCACAGAUAUAGGUGAAAACAUCUUCUUAUGGGAUAACUGACGUUGAGGGACGAAGGCUUUUUAUAGCGAACAGGAUUAGAUACCCUGGUAGUCAGAGCAGAAAACGAUGAGUGUCAUAGAUUAGAUAAGUAUUUAUUCUAUAAAUGAAAAUGUAAACACUCCACCUCAAGAGUAAUUUGGCAACAUUGGAACUGAAAUCAUUAGACCGUGUCUGAAACCAGUAGUGAAGUAUGUUGUUUAAUUUGAUAAUCCGCAAAAAACCUUACCACAGCUUGAAUAUCUAUUUACUUACUUUUAUUACAUGACUUGUGAGCAAUGUUAUGUAUAACUACGAUUGCUUUUUAUACAAUCGUGUCAAUAGAUGAAAUAAUAUAGGUACAAGUGUUGCACGGCUGUCUUAAGUUAAUGUCGUAAGACUUUGGUUAGCUCCAGUAAAUUAACGCAAACCCUUGCUCUAGUUUUAAGUAGAGUAGUUCUCCACCAUAUUGGAUAAGAUAACAGGAUAAAGACAAGUCAUCAUGGCCUU
rnacentral:rRNA from 1 species